rnacentral:rRNA from 1 species
UUUUGGACAAUGGGGGAAACCCUGAUCCAGCAAUGCCGCGUGAGUGAAGAAGGCCUUCGGGUUGUAAAGCUCUUUUGUCAGGGAAGAAGCACCGGCUCUAACACAGUCCGGGAAUGACGGUACCUGAAGAAUAAGCACCGGCUAACUACGUGCCAGCAGCCGCGGUAAUACGUAGGGUGCAAGCGUUAAUCGGAAUUACUGGGCGUAAAGCGUGCGCAGGCGGUUAUACAAGACAGGCGUGAAAUCCCCGGGCUUAACCUGGGAAUGGCGCCUGUGACUGUAUAGCUAGAGUGUGUCAGAGGGGGGUAGAAUUCCACGUGUAGCAGUGAAAUGCGUAGAUAUGUGGAGGAAUACCAAUGGCGAAGGCAGCCCCCUGGGAUAACACUGACGCUCAUGCACGAA